UCGGAGUUGCUAGUAAUCGCGGAUCAGAAUGCCGCGGUGAAUGCGUUCCCGGGUCUUGUACACACCGCCCGUCACACCAUGGAAGUUGGGGGCGCCCGAAGUUGCCUAAGAAAUAAGGUACCUAAGGCGAAACCAAUGACUGGGGUGAAGUCGUAACAAGGUAUC
rnacentral:rRNA from 1 species